GCUAGGUAUGGUGGUGCACACCUGUAAUCCCAGAUCCUCGGGAGGCUGAGGCAGGAAAAAUCACAAGUUUGAGGCUAACAAGAGACCCUUAGAGGUACCCUGUCUCAA
rnacentral:sRNA from 1 species